GGGAGUUUGGUCUAGUGGUAUGAUUCUCGCUUCGGGUGCGAGAGACCGCGAGUUCGAUUCUCGUAACUCCCC
rnacentral:tRNA from 1 species